GUGUUAGUUGCUCUCUAACAAUUUCGGAGUCGUUAUCGCAUGCGCAUGUCGCGUUCGCGCCUCCGUCGAAUAAUUUUCUGUGUUCCGCCCGCCUUCGAGUUUUCCAUCGACGUCCUACGACUGGAAUAAUCGCCACUCCUGCUUACGAAUCCGUUGACGAUCCAGUUUAUAAGUCCCAUACACACAAACCGAUCCCCAAUUCGAGGGACGAGUGCGCGAGUGUGUGCGGGGGGCAUUCGAAAAUAAUGCCGAUUAAUUAAACAUAUUGACCAGUGGCCGUAAAUAAUGGAAUUUGAAAUUCACCCGUGUUGAAAAGUUCAUUACAUUAUUUUGACCAAAAGCACUACCGAAAUAACUGUAUCAAUAAAAAGCUGUACGCGUCACUGGAAGUGAGCAGACCGGUGGAGUAGAUCCAUCCCCAUUCAGCAGCGGUGCAGACCCACCAAGCACCACCCCAGCA
rnacentral:sRNA from 1 species